GAUUGAAGGUUUUUUCUUAUUUUAGGGUAUGCUGUUCCUCCACCGACAUCACAGCCAAACUAUUCGAGCACGUACACCAUCAUUCAACAGCCUGCCACCACCACUUCUGUAGUAGUAGUUGGUGGCUGUCCUGCCUGCAGGGUUGGCGUGUUGGAGGACACCUUCACCUGUCUUGGUGUUUUGUGUGCCAUUGUAUUCUUUCCAAUUGGGAUUCUGUUCUGCCUUGCACUGAGGCAGAGAAGAUGCCCUAACUGUGGGGCAGCUUUUGGCUGAGGGGCUGAACGUGGACGUGCUUACGGAAGCUACAACUGUUAGCAUACUCUUUCUAAUGUAAAUGUCAUGUACAAUCAUUUUAUUUGCUUCAGACCUGUUUUGUAAAGUGUGAAGGAAUUUAGUCUCUUGCAUGUAAUUUAAACCUAAUCUUUCAUGAGCAUGUGCAUUGCAAAACAUGAAAACCUGACUUGUUUUCCAUGUUUAGUGGCACCUGUUGAAAACUAAAUAAAACUGCUUUUCCUUUUGCAAUCCUCAA